CGUGGCUCAGGAAGUGGUGAAGUCCCUCUCCCUGACUUUGUAGAGACUCACCUUCUGCAGGCAGGAAGAGACCAGACCUCCUCUGACCCUUGUCUUCCAUCCUAACAAUAAGACAUGAGAAGCAUAAAUAUUACCAGAGAAAACAGGAAGUGCGUGCAGAGCAAGCAGCAUGCAGAGUGAGCAUCUUCCAGAGCGAGCAGCAUGCAGAGCGAGCAUCUUCCAGAGCAAGCAUCUUCCAGAGCGAGCAGCAUGCAGAGCGAGCAUCUUCCAGAGUGAGCAGCAUGCAGAGCAAGCAUCUUCCAGAGCGAGCAUCUUCCAGAGCGAGCAUCUUCCAGAGCGAGCAGCUUUUGAAGCUGUAGAAAUGUCAGGGACUGCUGGCUGCCUGGACAGUCCCCCAAGGUUCUUCUGUAGUGUUGGAGUAUCCACCUUCAGCCUACAGGCCCAGAAUAUCUGACAGACUUUCCUGUGAAGCAGGAAUUUUGAAGCAGUGGCCUACCUUGGCAAAGUUGGGCCGUUGACUUCCCGUGUCCUGCUUGUCCACAGUUUGGACAGGAUGUUGUCAGCAGUUGAGGCAAGGGCAGGUUUGUCCAGCGUCCAACUUUGCCACGUUUAAAGCAAACUAUGUGGAGUUCUUUAGUGCACAUCAUCUUUGAAGUAGAUUGGGGUGCUGCCAGGAGCAGAUGUGUCUGUCAGAAAAGCCUUUUAUUAUUAAAAACAUCUUAGAUGGCA